rnacentral:lncRNA from 1 species
CCCUCGUCUACGUGCAACCUCACGUACGUCAGUCAGUGCGAGACCGAAGUACAGAACACAACCGGCGUCAUUGGUCUCUUCAAGUACGACACGGUCAUCAGAGACGUGUUCAUCACCACGGCUAACACAAGCGACGGUUCUCUGGCGAACCAGCGACGUCUCUGCAGGGCGGAAGGCGGCGAGCCUCUCGUCAUCAAGACCAAGCAAGUCAGAGACAAGGCAGUGCAACUCGUCAACGAUAGCGGCACAUUAAAUUUGAGUAAAGAAAAGUUUGCCUGGCUGAGCGCCUCCUGCAACGACUCCAAGCCCUGCCCAAACUUCACCUGGCCUGACGCCACCGACAUCCACAACUGCGCCUCGCAUGCAAAAGACGUACAGGGCUUCUACCUCGCAGAUGGACCAGCAACAUUUCUUGUGGGAAACAACACGAUACUGCGUUCAGCAGUUCAAAGAACGAUUGUGUACCCAGUGCUAUGUUAUAAGUAUUAGGAUCAUGAGCUUUUGAUAGUUCUACUAUUUGUUUCUUUUCAGAAACUUAAUCCAUAAAGGGUUCACACAAACAAAUUGAACUACAUCUAAAACUACAGCAAUUUAUGUUCUAGUUUUAGCUCCACAAUAUUCAUUCUAUUCAAAUAUCUUGAAUUGGUAUUUGAACCCUAUUCAAAAACCUCCAUCCUAUUCGACUCAAAGGCUACAUGCGGUACACAGUAUUUGCUGUAUAAUCUAAAUGUUGCGUAUCUCAAAAUCAUUAUCAUGCACUAUAUAUUCUAGAUCGCAAAUAAAUAAAGUUCCAACCUUUCUAACCGACUCGAAUGACCCUAACUGUAAAACAUCAAAGUAACAUUACCAAAAUCGCUCGGUUACAAAGACCACGCAGUUAUAUGAUUAAAUUAGAGAUCAAACUCUAGAGGCUACUUGAACUACCCAGUGUUUGCACCCAGCAUAAUCAUCAAUCAAAAGCACACAGAAGCAUCAUAAUCUGUACUAAAUACAUAAUUCUUCAAAUUCAUAUCCUUAUGUUAGAUAAUGUUCAUUCUGUGUCUCAUAAUUUUGAAGAAUAGUUAUAAGCGGUAGCAACAGCGUGUCACACGAAUGUCUUAUCGUUAUUUUUACUGCAUGUACUACGUCUUGCCUAUUCCGUUAUAAUAACUAUUAAUGAUGAAAUGUACAAGAUACCAUUUGAAUUGAGACACACAAUUUAGGCUUGGAGUGAAGGUGACGACACACUGUUCAAUCUAUUCUUUCCAAAUUAAUUCAAUUAAUUCACCAUCUUAUGUAAAUUAAUUUGUCAAACGGGUAUCGGGGUCAAAAUAAACUAAGCGGAAACUUGCUUCAAUUACUUUUAUUAUGAGAACAUUACGUUAGGAGCCGCCACUUCUAUUCGACUGGAUGAACCUUGACUGAUGAGCUUUAAAAUAAGUAAGAAAUUUUACGGAAGGUUGGUUUUAAACCAUUAAAUCGUAUUCUCAUUUACGCAUGUUUUUUAAUGUUGCUACGAGAAUUGCAAAAAUGUCUGUAUCCGAUACUUAGAAUCAAUCAACAGGACCUUAGCCAUAAAAUGAGUAUAUACGUAUGUAGACCAUUUCAUAUUAAGAUUUCUUGAUAUUGGAUUGGUCAGUGGAAUAGUUUGUUCUCUUCAGUUCAGUGGAAUAGUUUAUUGGAAAAAAACUUGGAUUCCAUGCGAAGUCUUUGGCCAUGAGUGAACAAAGUUGUCAAAAUCCCCUACAAAGUCAUUGAUCAUGAGUUAAUGCUUGACCAAAAUGAAUCAUUCACUACCGUGGAAAUACUUAUAACAUUAUAGUUAAUUUGAUACCUUCAUGAUUAACUAAAUACUACAUUUGUGUCAUGUCAACCUAAGAAGAUCAUUAUAUUAUUUAUAGGACAU